CUCCCUCGCGGUUCCCAGAAUUCCCAGCAUCUACACAUCAUAGAGUAAUCACUACUCUAUGAUGUGUAGAUGCUGGGAAUUCUGGGAACCGCGAGGGAG